GACUGGCCCCAGGGCAGGGACACAGAGCAGUGAACCCUCAGAUGGAGGCAGAGGCCUCUCCUCAUCCCAGCCUCCCAAAGGAAAAGAGAAUUUGGCAGAGGCAGUGCUCAGAGCAGUGACCUGCCUGGAGCACAUCUGAUGCCAGCCCUGAACCAGACAGGCAGGCCCAAACCUUGCUCCUCUCCUCUGCUGUGCUUUCUGCAGGCAGCAGAGCCCUGGAGACCAGCAGUUAAAAGGAAACCAAACACCAAGAGGCCCUAUAAAAUCUCCACCUCCCACUGCUGGAGCUGUCUCAGUGAGUUGUCUGGCAGGAGCUUGUUCCAGCUCCCAGCUCAUCCCUCCUACAGCGCAGCACCCCCAAGCUCCCAGUGCCUUGGAAUGCUGAGCCCCUCCUGCCUCCUCCCCCAGGAACAGGCCCUACCACACCCCAACAGCUCCAGGGCUCUGACCCUAAAUCCAGACAAGAAAAGGGACAGGAACAGCCAGAGCAAAGCUGGGGAAGGAGAACAGAUUCAGCCCUGACUCAUCCAGGGAAACAAGGAUGGGAGAAAGAGAAGCAGGAGCACCCUGACCAGCACCAGGAUCAUUGCUCUGAGCACCCAGCUCAGAUCAGCAAAGCCCAUCACCUCUGUCCAGACUGGACCCUGGGGUGGAGCAGGCACUCAUGGCCACAGCAGCAACCUCAGAGGAGUGAAAUCACAACUGUUACAAGCAGAGCACUCUGAAUAAACCCUUUAACUCACUGAUGAAGGUGUCCCAGGGUGGUGUGUGCCCCUCAGUGCCCUCACCCCCUGCCCUUGGGUAUCUCCACACUCAACCCUUGGGUGCUGCAGUGGCUGGGAUUGGGGUUCCUGAUUCCCAAAGGCACCUGGGAACCUGAAGCUCAGCUUCUCCACUUGCACUGGUGUUACCAGAAGAGCAGCCUGGUUUGCUGAAGCUGCUUUCCAGGGGUGUCAGUACUUGUGAAGCUGGAGCACCACGUCAGGCAGAGAGGUCAGCUCCAGGCACUGACUGCUGAGCACACUAAUCUCAGUGUUUUUCCAACAGAAGAGAGGAAAAAACCUCAUCUCAGCUGAAAUACCAAGGCUUUAAAAAUUAGUUGCUGUUCAUGUGCAGUAGCUCUUGUUAUUGAAAACACCAUAAAAGUUUUACUGUGCUGACUUAGGGUGCACGUAAAGAACCUCGCUUGUCUUGACAGGCCAUAAAGGAACUUUUAUGACCUAUUGGGUCAAUGAUUUGCAGAGAAGGAUUUACACUGCUGUCCAGGGCUGGGAUGAGCUGCUGGAGGAGGAACACACCAGAAAUGGCACUCAGAGCUGAGGGGUGAGCCUGCUGUGGGAUAAAUCCAGCACGACUGUGUCUAUCAGCCUGCCUUGUUUUACACAGAUUGUGCUAACUCAGAAGGGCACAGGAUUAUGUGCUGAGUGGGUUUAACUGAUUGACCUUUAUUCUUUUGGGUUUACAAGUGGAGUUUUAGGAGGAAAAACCUUACCCAUGCAUCAGUUCAGCUCUCCCCUGGGGAUAAAUCUUCAGAAAUGCAGGCUGAAUCCCCAGUGUUGCAAUCAUUUUAUCUCUUAUCACAAAGUGUCAGCUCCACUGGUCCAAGGUUCACUUUCAACACUCCUGGGGGAACUCAAGGGAGAAGAGGCCCUGACUUAGUGAAAUAUCAUCACCUUGGGCUGAUGCUGCCUGGUGUGCUCAGGACAGAUGGAAGGGUGUGAGGGAACUCCCUGCUGUGCCAGCAGCCUCCCGUCAGGGCUUGUUUGCCUUUAUAAAGCACUGGGAACAGACUGCAGCUGCAAGCAAAGCUCCUGUGAAACCCAAAUACACACCUCCAGCCUCAGGGGCUGGUGACAGGGGCCCAGGACCAUUUGCAAGAGACAAAAUCUGCCCUGG